rnacentral:lncRNA from 1 species
AUCUCUGGCGGUUAGUUCGAGUGGUCCUGUGUAUAAGACUGUGCCUGGGUGCGCAUCUGAAGCCAGAUGAACUCCACGCUUGGGUCGUGCGUCCUAACCCCUUUAACCUCAUCACCGCCUGCUUGGGGAAAGGCCCGCCGUUGGCUCUGCUCUCGCCAUGGCGGUUGUGGAGCCGAAUUGAAGCCCUUGGACAAUCGGUGGUGAUUACCAAAACUGGCCACAACCUUCCACUGCGGGGAAAUCCACCGUGAGGCCACUAAUUUCUCGCCGUCGUUUCCCCUCCGCCGUGAUUUCGCCUUGUACGUGGCUGGCCGCAACCAAGCAUUGACUCAUGGUAAGAAGCCUUCCUCUCGAAUCACCUCGUCUUCCUCUGCGUGUAGCACGGGUUGGUGUAGGAUUUGGGGCCCUGUCUCCGUCGGGCGGGGUGUGCCGGCGAGUUGCUCUGCCGCGGGGUGCUGUUCACCCCCGCUCUGCCGCAUCGGGGUGGGGAAGAUGUGCCGGGACCGCUGAUUUGGUCGCCAACGGCCAUGAUCAGAGCCAGUGUGCAGUUCGGCCAAAUCUUAUGUGGGUCAUCUGUUUGCUGAUGGACGUGCGUGAUCGGAUGAUGCGGGGGUGAAUUGGGGACCCUAGAUCAGGAUAUGUGCGGUUAGGAUUUUAAUAGUAUGAUUUUGAAUCGCCACCGUCGGUUGGCAAUCCUACGGGGGACAUUCCAUACCGGUUCGUUAUGUGGACCUAUUUAACCGCAGCCAUGGGAUCUUGAUCCAACGACUCACAUCACGUACCGGUUCGCUAGGGUAGUCCAUCUAAUCUGGGCCUUAGAUCCUAAAAUGGAUGGCCUAGAGCCGAGCACGUUGAAUCCGCGUGGUAUUUUUGCAGUAUGGGUCCUCAGGGUUUUCCACAAUUAACCCGCGAUCCCUGAUGGUGAUGGAAUCAUUUUAGAAAGGCCCUGAGUUUUGUAGGUUAGACCUUGGUGAACUCAGAAAUUGUGUCCGCCAUCCACCGGUCUGGUAAUCUCAGAGAAUAAAAUCUAAAAUGAUUUUUAGAAUGAAAAUAAAUAUGAUAAACUUAGGAAAUUCAUAACUUUCUCGUUUUAACUCCGAUUUGACUCAUUCAAAUUGUGAUAGAUUUGUAAUAAAGUUUACUACACUAUGACAAACAUCCCGUUGUCAUAUCACUUACUCUUUUAGUUAGUUAUUUAAUUACCCUAUCUAUAUAGUAGAUUAAUAUUUUAUCAAAGUAGUCCGACUAUGACUAUUAAUAACUAUCGAAUGACCUCUAAUCAGGUUAUAACCUAUAUUAAAAUUGGAGUUAGUUAUAUCUUUUCUCACAUGAUUUAUUUUAAUCAACAUAAAAUAUAGUUUCAUUGAUUAAAUCACCUAAAUCUUGGAAAAGCCAUAUCUUUGUAACCGUAGCUCCGAAUUUAGUGAUUCUCGAACCCACGAUCUCGUAGCAUCUCAUAGAUUAUUAUUAUUCAGUUUGUACUUAUGUUUGAUGUGAUGUUAAUUUUGCCUAUAUCAUGUUUGUCUGUAUUGCUAUGACUAACAGUGAGGUCACGAGUCACCUGAAGAGCAAGUUGGUACCUGGAAUCUCAAGUCCCAGGCAAGUUGAGCCCUUGACCACUUUUAUUACCCAAUAAUGUUCUUUAUUAUCACUUAUUCAUGCAUAGGCUUAAUUUUGAUGGGACCCAAUAGGUCACCCUAGACUGAUUAUCUUGUUACCUUGUUUACCCCUGAACUAUUUGGAUAGUUUUUGCUAUUGCUCUAUAUGGUUUUGGGUUUAAUAUUACAUUAUGUUCAUGUUCCAAUUAUACUAUUAUUUUAUUUAUUAUUCAUGUCAAGAUCAUUAUUUUUAAUUGGAACAUGGAGCUUAACUUGAGAAACAUGUGCCACCACAAGGGUGGAAUGGGACGCCCUUGGCUGACUAACUAGGAAAGCUAGUGGAGGACUACCUUACCCGAUAGGGGCAAGGGCAGUAGGCGUGUAGGGAGGUUCCCGGGUUGAUUUUGCUGCGAUGGCGGUCAGAUGGGGGAUUCCCGCAUUGCUCUUCCUAGAAAAUGUAGCGGGUUUUCUGAAGCUAGUGGAACUUUGUAAAGGCUUCGUAGUGGAUCCCUAGCCAUUCACCUCGGUAGUUUUUAAGGGUCUAGCUAACCCUAGUGACAUGGGAUACACGACUUGUGGGUACAGGGUACAACCUCUGCAGAGUGUAAAACUAGUAUACUAGCCGUGCUCGUGAUCAUGAGCAGCUCAGGACUCUCGCAUGAUUAAUUUAUGGAAUUAAAUUCAAUUUGUCAUAUGCAAUUCAUUGCGGGUGUUGUUAUCAAUUUUGAUCUAUUAUUACUCUGGUUAGGUAUCUACUUGCACUUAGUAACUACUAAUAAAAUUUUGACCAACUUUAAAAGCAAUGCUCAGCUUUAAUCAUUCUCUUUGGUAAGCCUUACACUUCACAUGAGCUCCCACCUUUGGCGAGUUUAUGCACAUUAUUCCCCACAACUUGUUGAGCAAAGAACAUAUGUGAGCUCACCCUUGCUGUCUAACACCCCCCACAAGUCAAGAACAGGUACCGCAGGAUGAGGCGCAUGGAGGAUGCUGAGAUGUGUUCGUGAGAGGUCUAGACCGUCGUCUCCCAGUCAGCUUUGGGUUGCUGGAUCGUUGUCUUCAUAUGAUGUAAUUAUUUAUUUAUUUUAUACAGAACUCCUAUUAUAUAGUAAAGAUGUGACAUUUUUUCUGUACCAUGAGUCAUCAUGUGUGUAAGACUUGGUCCUAACACACUUGGUGAUUAUUUCGCACCCGUGUUUUGGACCCCUAAAACCUAGGUGUGACAAGAAACGACUGUUUAACGCCUUGGGCAAGUCUUUGCCUUGUAAUUCUACAAGUAGGCAUUACUAGACAUCACCUGCAUGACCUUGUAAGGGCCUUCCCAGCUUGGCGACCACUUCCCAAACUUCCGGUCUUUGCUCCUUAGAGGCAAGACGGUCUUCCAUACCAAGUCCCCUACCUAGAACGACUUAGCCUUGACCUUCUGGUUGUAAGCUUUAGCGACCAUGAUCUUGUCCUUUUCUAUUUCUCCUAAGGUUGUCACUCUCUUGUCGGUCACUUCAUCAAUAUUAUACAUCUUUGAAUUAUAAUAAUCACCGGCAGUUAGAUCAUUUUGCUUGGCGAACCUAACAACAUUUAAACUUAUCUCUACAGGCAAUACUGCUUCCUACCCAAAGACAAGCUCAAACGGAGAUACUUUAGUAUCAUGGUGUUUAGAUAUUCUAUGAGCCCAUAAAGUUUCAGACAAAAUCUUAUGCCAAUGCUUAGGAUGAUCAGAUAUCUUCUUUUUUAUUAGGCUAAUCAAUGUUCUAUUACUAGACUCGGCAUGUCCAUUGGCCUGAGCAUAAUAUGGAGAUGAAUUGAGCAAUUUAAUUUUAUAUAAUUCAGCAAACUCACAUAACUCCUUUGUCAUAAAAG